ensembl:lncRNA
GCCCGUGUUUGUUUGUUUUUUUUUUGUGUGCGUUUUUUUUUUUUUUUUUUUUUGGCGUUUAGGGGGGUUUUUGGAAAUGUGAUCUCUUGCAGCUUUAACUUUCUUUCCUUUAUGUGGUUGAUACAGUGUGAUAUUUGACCGAUAUGGUGGCCGGAAGGACCAUGAACAUUAACUCAACACAACGAUAUAUGCAUUUAUAUUACCACCAAACUUACUUUUACUGAUAUCAUUUUAAUCCAAGCAGUAUAUUAGCACUUACGAAGACCAUCAUUGUAGCUCUAGUUUCAUGUGGUUCUUUACCAGGGCCUUGAUAUCAUGAUGUAAUCUUUAAUAUGGAAAUUUUCUUUAGCAGAGGUCAAGUAAUUAAGCAAGCUAUCCACUACAACCAACAAAAAUAUGUCAGUAUUAGUAGGUCUAUGGGGUAUUUUCCUGAAUCUUCUUUAACAUUGUAUAUUGUAAAUGAACAGAUUAUAAAACUAACCCAAGACAUUUUAUUGGAACAAAAUGAGGAAAAAAAAAAAGAAAAAAAAAAGUUCAGCUUCUACGUGUUCUGUGUCUGCUGUACUUUUUUUCCUGAACUGCUUCUUUCUUUUCCUCCUUUUUCUUACGCUCCAUGCGAUGAUGAUGAUGUGGUUGUAUUCUUCUCGUGGUGAUUCCACUUUUUUUUUCUGUGUGUGCCGUCCACUCUUUUCUCUCUCUCUCUCUCUUUUUUUUUUUAAAGACAGGGUAGAAAACAGAGACACUACUGGAUGUAUGAAUCCUCAGGAGACAUGGAUGAGGGGUUUCAAAUAACUUUCUGGCAUAAAGGACUCUUGCAAAGUUAGAUCUUGCUAGAUCAACAGUUUCAUGAUCGAUGUAAUCUAUACUGAUGUAUAAGUGAUUAACAGCUAUUUAAAGGAAGGAGCAACAUAUAUUUAAAAAGGGAUCAUUUUAUCUAACUACUUUCCUGUAGACUAACACUGUACUGUAUAUCUUAGGUUUAAAAAAAAAUGCUUUUGAGUAUCUCAAAAUAGUAGUGGAUUUUUAAAAAAAACAACAAAAAAAAACGAUUAUUCUUUCUUUCUUUCUUUCUUUUUUAACACGCUGCUGUACAUAAGGCCUUCCAUGCUGAGCGACUCUUGUAAUAUUAUCUUUAAAUCCUUGAGGCUGCAAAGGAAAGAAAUGUUAUUUGUUUUGAUGUAGGAUCCAGUUUCUAACACGCUCGCUUCAACUUUGUGUGCUAAAUAAAAAUGAAGAGAAAAGGACUAAAAAAAACAUCAUUCUUGGAAUAAAACAGGGAUAAGGGUUUUUUUUCUCUCCCUUCUGUGUUCUUUAAAUACUGUGUAAUAAUUGUCAUUAGCGAUACAAAAUCUAUCAUUUAGAGAGUGCUUUGGAGAGUGUAAAGUUAUUCUGAACAUUAAUCAUGGCUAUUCGUUGGAUGGUCAAAAACUGGAGGGUUCCUGUUGUUGAUCGGAAGUUGGCACUUUCGUAUUUUUGAUUUUUGAUCUUUUUUUUUUACACAGUUCAUGGCAGAAUGGUGCGUUUUCUUCCUUUGUGAUUUUUCUUUCCUCUUGUCUAUUGCAUUUUGUCUUUCUUAUGACUUUAUGACUUAUGAUACAGACAGAACACCAUGUAAACAUGAAAACAUGAUCUUUAUUUUUUAUUUUAUUUUUUUUUAAAGUGAUUUAAGCUUAGCUUUCAUUUUUAUAACGUCACACAGAUGUUACAGCAAGCGGUCCUGGGCCUGGGUGCGUUACAGGAGCUGACUUGGAGUCAGCCGUCACCCUUUCUAUAAAUUCAAGACAAAACUGACCCACUUCGAGACGUCUGACUCACCGUUAAAGGCUGAGAGUCCUGAGUAUUUCCUUUUGUUACACAAAGCAUUCGCACAAAAAGAUGGAUUCUUCCAAAAGGAUACUAGUAUUUUCUGAACUUCUUUUAGAGAUACUUACUGCAUAACUUUGAACAGUAUAGUCCCAAGGUUAACUUAGAUCAUUGAGAGAAGGCUCUAUUUGCUCUAUUCACUCUGUCUGUUUUCAACAUACUGUAUUAACGUAGAGAAAUCAAAGUGUAAAUUACCAACGAUACAUUUUUCCAACAUAUUUUCUUAUUUAAAGCAAUAUGUGUGGCGAUCAGGAGUCACACUCUGCAACUGACUUAGAUCAAAAAUGCUGUAUUUAUUGGACUAUUUUGCAAUGUAAGAAAUAAUAGGGGGGAAAAAAUAGAUGAUGUACAAACAACUGAUAUUUUUUAUUAUAGAGGACCUUAUGGGCAUGGGUUGUAUUUAUUCUCGUCUGCGAAAUGUAUUGAAGGAUUUUUGCAGCAGUCAAACAUGCAAAUUGUAAGAAACACUAAUCAACAGGAAGAACUGGAGGAAGAAGGGAGGAGGAGGAGGAGGUGGGGGUAUUUAAAAAAAAAUUAACAAAAAUAAAAAAUAAAAACAUAUAUGAUCAAUAAGAUGAUAUCAAUUUCAGUCCAGGAGUUGCUGAAACAGCCUGUAGUGAGAACCAUGUCUGUAGCUCUAGAUGUGCUCAACAUCAGUGAAACAAUUACUUGUAUAUUUUUGUGAUGUGUACCAUACAGUGUGCUCCAACAAUUCUGUCCAUUUGUGUAAAUGUAUUUAUUUUACAUUGUAUAUAUUGUUCAAUGCAAAAAGAGAGACCUAUGAUUCUGUAACUACGAUCAAUUCAGAUGUGUAACUCCAAUUAUGCCUUUCAGGAUAAUGGUAGAGCAAUAUUAAAACAUGCUUCCAGUUUUGACUUUGGGCUGCUUCCUUUGUUUCUCAUUCACACUUAAAAAAAAAAAAAAAAAAGAAAAAAACAGUUUCUUGGCUGUUAAAUUGACC